GGACUGGGCGUUAGAGUGGUAUCCACAAUGCCUCUGACUUGUGAAUUUUCCAGCCUGACUGAUGGGAACAGAAACUCUAACCAUCCCGUGUAAACUUCACGUUCUGUUCCUCUAAUCCUUUCAGGUAGUUUUUCCCCUCAUCUCCGCGAAUUUCCUCACAGGCACCUGAUGAUGAGAACUCUGCUGAGUACGGUGCACAGAGCAGGAAUGACUGUGUCCACUGACCUGUGAUGAGGACCCCGAGGCUCUGAGAAGUGGACUGGCCUGCUAGCCCUGACUCGCUGUGGACUCUGGCCCCAGGCUCCAACUUCAGGGCACUUUCUGCUGGAGCAGCAUCCUCAGAGGGAUUAGCACUGGCAGGAUCCAGGAUUUGAGCCAAAGCAGCAAAGCAACGAUGACGGGAUUUCAGGCCAGCAGAUUGGGGCUGAAGAGAGGACCUGGAGCCCUCCCAGCAUCUUUGAGACCAUUCCAACGUUAUCAACAUUAGAGACGCAGGCCUGAACUUCGUCAGCUUUGCCACUUGCUUGCUGUGUGGACACAUCACUGAACCUUUCUGACCCAAUGUCCUCAUCUGUACAAUGGGGAUAAUAGUUCCACUCUCAUCCGGUUGUUAUGAAGGGCAAGUGAAAUAAUGAAGGUCAGCCACAUGGCGCAGAGUGGGGGCUCCAUCGCAUUUCUUUUCUUCCUUCUUCUAUGUGUCAAGCAUGCAGGCCACUUUCCUGGAGGAGUGGACACAGAAUGGACCCAGACAGGAUGUGGGUAAAAGCAUUGUACUUGAAUCUUGGUUAUUUCCUAUAGCUUAAGGUAAUUGGCCUGUGAAACUGUCCCAACCCUCCCUCUACUUUUUGCCCCAGGGCAGUCUGAAAAUUGGAGAAAGCAUCACAGAAACUAACAGGAUCUUGGAGAUCAAAUGGUUCCCACCCCCAGGCCCUCCCUCCACAUCCUGAGACAUUGUAGGCUGGAGGCCCUCUGGAGUCAUUCGCAAGACCAGGAGGCCAGCAGUUGUGUCCCCAUGCAGUCAGCACCGAGUCCAAUGCUCUGUCUGUUACCAUCCCAAAGCUCAGUAACUUAAAACAAACAUUUCUCGUCAUCUCUCAUGCUUCUACGGGUGACUAGGCUCAGCUGGGCAGUUUGCCCUCCAGGUCCCAGAUGGGAUUACAGUCAGAUGUUCUAUGGGGCUGAAGUCACCUGAAGGUUUGACUGCUUUGGACAUGCAAGAUGGCUCUCUCACAUGGCUGGGCUGUCCUCUGGGAGAUCAGCUGAGGCUGUCCACCAGAGCAUUUACACGUGGCCACUCCCUGUGGCUUGGCCAUCUCGUAGCAUGGCAACUGACUUCCCAAAGGGAGCAUCCCAAGAGAGAACCCCAAGGGAGCCAGGCAGAAGUUGCAAGGCUUCUUAUGGCCUAAUCUUGGAACUCUUGGAACUUUACUUCCACUGCAUUCUGUUGGCCAAGGAGACCUGAGCCAAACCCAGAUUCAAAGUGAAGGGAAUAGGAGUCCAAUCCCCGAUGGGGGAUGAGCAAAGUCACACUGCAGAAGAGCAUGUGGCAUAAAAAAUGUGUGGGAUGGACAUCUCUGGAAAAUGAAGUCCCUCACGCCCACCAACCUUUUCUUCCCAGGAAAAGGAACUUGCACCAAUGGGGGAGGGGAACGAGCACUGUCCCAGGAAUCAGAUGGCUCUGGGCCUUACUUGCAGCUUUACCCUGGAGACAGCCAGCUGUCACCUACACUGGCAAGGCAGCAGGUCUGUCCCAGCCGGCUUUGAGUACCUCCCCAUCUGCUUGAGGGGUGGUUGUGAAGACAAAAUGAGUUCAUUAGUUUCUCCAUUCUAAUCUAACAAGUGUUUAUCAAGCACCGUGUUUAUUCAUUCAUUCAACAACACUUGACUGAGGGCCUACUGGUACCAGCCCAGAGAGGAAGCCUAGGGGACACACAGUUUGAUGGAAGGCACACGCUUGCUCAGACGGUUACUGCUUAGCACAGUAGCCCUGGCGUGGACAGUCAGUGGGGUAUAGUCAAGGAAGAGGCUGGCUUUGAUUAGGGAAGGAGAGAUUGGGGAAGGCUUCUCUAUUCAAACACAGACCCGACCCUCCUCUUGAAGAACCCAUACAGGUCUCCAGGGAGGUAAGGAGGGGAGAGGAAAGAUACCCCGGAUGGAGCAGGGGCUGAGAAAGUAUGACAAGAUUAGGAAAUGGCAGGCCCCGUGGAAGGCUGUGAGGCAGGGAGGGGAGGC
rnacentral:lncRNA from 1 species